rnacentral:rRNA from 1 species
ACGGAAGGCAGCAGUGGGGAAUAUUGGACAAUGGGGGAAACCCUGAUCCAGCGACGCCGCGUGAGUGAAGAAGUAUUUCGGUAUGUAAAGCUCUAUCAGCAAGGAAGAAAAUGACGGUACUUGACUAAGAAGCUCCGGCUAAAUACGUGCCAGCAGCCGCGGUAAUACGUAUGGAGCAAGCGUUAUCCGGAUUUACUGGGUGUAAAGAGAGCGUAGACGGCAAAGCAAGUCCGAAGUGAAAUCCCGGGGCUCAACCCCGGAACUGCUUUGGAAACUGUUUAGCUAGAGUGCAGGAGAGGUAAGCGGAAUUCCUAGUGUAGCGGUGAAAUGCGUAGAUAUUAGGAGGAACACCAGUGGCGAAGGCGGCUUACUGGACUGUAACUGACGUUGAGGCUCGAAAGCGUGGGGAGCAAACAGGAUUAGAUACCCUGGUA